GUGGUAGUUCAGUGGUAGAACACUUGCCUAGCAUAUGUGAGGCUCUGGGUUCAAUCCCCAGUAUAACA
rnacentral:tRNA from 1 species